UCAGACGAUGCGUCACUGCAUAUCAAUAAGCGGAGGAAAAGAAACUAACAAGGAUUCCCUUAGUAACGGCGAGUGAAGCGGGAAGAGCUCAAAUUUGAAAUCUUCAAGGUUUUACCUUGACGAAUUGUAGUUUAAAGAAGUGUUUUCUGCUUGAAGUUUUGGCUAAAAGUUCUUUGGAAUAGGACAUCAUAGAGGGUGAGAAUCCCGUAUUUGACCAUUAUUUUCAGCUUUGUGAUACACUUUCAAAGAGUCGGAUUGUUUGGGAAUGCAGUCCAAAAUGGGUGGUAAAUCUCAUCUAAAGCUAAAUAUUGGCGAGAGACCGAUAGCGAACAAGUACCGUGAGGGAAAGAUGAAAAGAACUUUGAAAAGAGAGUUAAACAGUACGUGAAAUUGUCAAAAGGGAAGCGUUUGACACCAGUGUUGUUUUCUCGAAAAUCAAUUAAAAAGAGUUAGAUUUUGUUGUGUAUUGACCUUAACAGCUUGCAUUUCAAUUUUCUUGCUUUUUUUAAUGCACUUUUCGUUUAACAAGUCAACAUCAGUUUCUUUUGUUGUAAAAAGGUCAUUGGAAGGUGGCUUUCUUUUCGGAGAAAGUGUUUAUAGCCUUUGACUCCUGCAAUCGGAGAGACUGAGGUCUGCAGCGUAGAUCCUUCGGGGUUAGAUACAUUUGUGCUAAGUUAUAGCUUUUUAUAGACAACUUGUUGACUAUGAUUAGUCUUGUAGCUUACUCGCUUAUGCUAUUUUACCUACGCUUAGGAUGUUGAGUCGUAGAGCACGCAG
rnacentral:rRNA from 1 species